rnacentral:snoRNA from 1 species
AGCACUAUUUUUAAACCUGUUGGUGGAAUUUCCUGACCACCGUGGGUUACGCUGUAGUGCAAAAGAAUCUCCUAGCUCUUUAGAGCAUAGCUGACCUUGCUCUGUCCAGCUGAUGCUCCUCUGAAGCUAAGGAACAGAG